rnacentral:lncRNA from 1 species
AUCCAAACAACCCCCUACAUCUAAGAACCCUAGAUUCCCUAAUUUAUAAAAUGCUCUCAAAUCUUCCUCUCUACCCCGCCGUCUUUCGUCGCCCGUAAAUCGGCAUCUGGCAGGGACUACCACCAAAUGACCCCAAAUUUUCACCAAAUACUCCUCACCACCUCCUCAACCCUAAUCCAGCAUCAUACUCCCUAAAACCCCUCUCAACCUCGCCGAUUAGAAGAUCUAGGAAUAUAUUUUGGCCCAUUUUCCUAAUUACCAUCAACCCAGUGUCAUCUUUAUCUAACUCUUACAACAAAUGAUAUGUCUUUGAGAGACCGUUCAUUUGGGGUCAUUAGUUCACUUCAAUUCUGGUGGCCAAUUCCCCCCAAAACUUUCACCUUUCAUUUUUAAUUGGCGUGCUAAAGUUAUUGUUAUAUGUAGCACUGUCCGAAAUGAAGAAAUCACGGCCAGUACUCGUGUAGCAAUAAUCUUUUCACGUCGGAGUUCAUUUUUGUCAUCUUGAUUCAAUUAGAACAGGUAUAUCUUUCUCUUACUAUUCUUAAUUGUUUAAUUAUGUGUUUAACUUUUAUUGGUCUGAAUUCGUUUUAAUUAAGUUAAGUUUAGUUGUACAAACUUAUGCUCUAAUUGCAACUUGUCACAACCCCAAUAUCCCACCUUAAGGUGUCGUGAUGGCACCUAGUCUCUAAGACUAGUAAGCCUAACAUACAUGAAAAAAUAACAAAAAUAAUAAUAGAAACUAUACAUCCCUAAUACAUCAAUAUCAAUAAUAAGAGUAUGCAACAAAAAUCAAGGACAGAAGGUGACUUCGAGACAUCCGAACGCCGGCAGAUAUACCUUGAAGUCUCCAAUCUGGAAGUUCUACUCACUGGUGCCUAGCUUGGUAUGAGGCACUUGAAUAUUCACAAAAAGAUGUGCGGAAGCGUAGUAUGAGUACACCACAAUAUACCCAGCAAGUAUCAAGCCUAACAUCGGUAAGCAGUGAUGAGGUCAGGUCAAAACACCUACUAGGAUAAGAAAAAGAAAUUGAACAAGUAUAAUAUAGUCUAAGAAUGUAAACAAGGAAAAUGAGGCAAUAAGGAAAUACAACAAGAUUAACUGUGUCACGAUCCAAACCGAUGGGCCGCAUGUCUACAAGCCUUUAAGAGUACAUAAAUGUCAUAAAUGUCAGGAUAGAGUCCCGCUAUACCAAACAAUACAUGUCUAAAUCAUACCAAUCAAACAUGCAACUCUGAAGCGAAUGGAGAGCACCAACAUCCUCCGCUGAGCUGAUAGCCUACUUGGGGGUCUCUCGACCUAUCUAUCUGGACCUGCGGGCAUGAAACGCAGCAUCCCCAGGCAAAAAGGGACGUUAGCACGAAUAACGUAUUGAGUAUGUAAGGCACAUAAAUAAGUACAUAACAGACGUGGAGGAAAUAUAGAAUAAAUGACUCCACAUGUAAGUCUGAAUAACUUUGUAAAUCAUGAAACAAUUAUAGUAUCAUGCAUAUGCAUAUGAAUGUCAUGUCGUGCAUAGGUACAUAUUUCAUAACAUCACCAGCCUCUGAGAGCAUCUCAUCAUAUCAUCUUGGCCACUGUGUGAAAAAUCAUCAACGUAUACCAGUUGAUCAGGUGGUGGUGCGUAUGUAACGCCAUAACCUUUCUCAUAACCCAUAUACAUAUAUAUACAUACAUAUAUACACAUAUAUAAUGCCAUCUGGUCAUGGGUCAACGUACAUGAAUGCAAUGCAUGAAAAUUACAUUAACAAAAUCUUUCGGAAUGUCAUAAGACCAAUUUGUCGUUGAGUAAUACCAUGAAAUAAACCUUAUCAAUUUACGUAUUUUCUGAGACCCAUGAACAGAUGAAAGAAUAAUAGGACACAUGGAGAAUCAAGUACAUAGGCACUUCUAACACUUCAUGAAUAGAGUCAUUUAUGAAAGUUGGUCAUUUUCUCGUUUCGUUCAUAUCGUAUAGAUCGUGCCAAAAGAAAGAAAGGAUAGCCUUAACAUACCUGAGCCUAUUCUCUUGACAAUCCUUCUAAUAUAUGUUGAUUGCGACAAAACGCAUAACGGCGGAUCGAAGUAGGGGAAAAUUCGUAUGGUAUUCUUGAGAAAGAUUGCACCGUGAUCUCUUAGAAUCGGAUUUACGCUAUUGUAGCAAUCCAUCCGUUAGCAAGCCUAGAUCUCUUGUAAGAGUUCAUAAGUAUUAUUUUGAAUUACAUGCUUUAGUUGCUGCCCAUAAUUUCCUCUUAAAUGACUAGCUCUUGUUUGAUGUGUGCAUGGAAUGAUGCAGCAAAUGGAGGUUUAAAUAAUCUUGUAAGUUUGUAAUUUGAGUAUAUCCAAAUACAAAAAUGGAAUGAAAUUAGGAACAAAUAUCACCCACUCACUUGGUAUAUGGAAACACUUUUUCGUAUGAACAACACCAGUAUGUAACAAUCUCUCAUAUUUUAAAGAUUUGUGGCUCCCACUUUUGGGAUGACUUAGUCACAAAUAUAUCUUAAAAUAUGACACCUUGCAAUUCUUUUUAAGAGUCAUUGAUUUGAAUUGUGGGCUGCCACAUUACAAUAUUAUCCAAAUAUAUCCCCAAUAAAUAGGUAAUGUCUUGUUACCCCGUAAAAUUGAGAAUUAUUUUGACUUACUUAAAAUAUUACUCACUUUUCACAUACCUUAUACACCUUACUAUUAUGAUCAUGUGGUACCUUGUAUGGUACUAGUCCAUAAAUACCGAGUAUUUUAGCUUGAGCUAGAUUUUAUCCCAAUAUGCCAAACUUGGACGAAAAUUCGUUUUCUUUGACUUGCUUCCCUUUCACCUUUACGAAUUUACUUAUUACUUAUUUGAAAUGGCAUAAUCUUUAUAAUCUCCAAAUAAUCUUUUCCAUGGACUAAUGUCAGUUACCUUAUGACAAAUUCAACGUACAACACUAUAGGGUGCAACAUCGUUGUAAUGUAGUACUGUGGGAUGUGACAUCUCACUUUCGGGUUCUCAUUAGUUUAUUUAUGGUGUGUUUUCAUGUACAAAAAUAUGGGGUGUAACAUCAUUCCCCUUUUGGAACAUUCAUCCUUGAAUGUUGAAUGAUGCGCUUAUUGUUAUCAUAUCCCAAAGCUCUUGCGAAUACUUUAGUAGUCCUUUUGUCACCUAGGCAACUAUUCUGUGAAUAAGUCCAAAGGCCAGGACAUUCCCUCCUUUAGGCCUCUUUCCCACGCCAUGACAUGUGAUCGAAUUCCUUCCACUCUCGUAACUGUUGCUGCCUUCCAUUAUGUUGCUUAUACGAUAUGAACCUUGUAAGUAUGCCUAUGCGACUCUCCUCUCCUUUUUCCUCCAGAUUUUAGCCAAUCCUGAAGUUCUUCGCUUGGUAUUUGUCGAACUUACGAAUAUUGCUAUAUCUUAUUUUAUAGACCUGGUUAUCCAUUCGUAUGGCUUUACUACACCUACAUAGGUCAUACUAUACCAUAAUUUUUACCUCGAUUUCUCAUUAUUGAAGUCUGCUACCAAAUCUCAGAUUACUUUCAUUGCUUAUCUCAUACAUAUAAAUCUAUAUCCUCUAAUGCCUCCAUAUUACUGUUCAUCUUUAAUAAUGACGGCAUAAUCUCCUCUCAUACUUUAUAACUUUUAACCAUCCAUUGUCGAUUCACCUCAAUUUCGAUCCAUAAUCUACCCCUAAUAACUCAACCUUUUCUGUAAUAUUGCUACUAGGAAUCACAUUUUAUCGGGGAACAUCUGAAAUGGUUAGAAUGAUCCACCAGAGGAGAUACCCUGCUUUCAUAACCAUAUCUCAUGGCAUCCCAAUGUGAUUCAUCGUGCGUGGGUAUUUUAAUCCUGUCCAAUUCAUGAGAUCCCUUUCUUUUAUUCGUCAGAUCAUUACUCAAUCUAAGGCCUAAACAUCAUUUUUUUUGUCUAUAAUAACUACACCCUCAUUUUAUUAACAGGGCAGCAUUCCAUCUCUUCUGAAUGUUAUUAGUCUUAGACUCCUUUGAGUUCAUUCAGGUUAUACUGAACUUUCUAUAACUUAGAGAAAGCAAUAGCUUUCUUGUUUUCAUGGCUCUUAAUCCCGAUGACUUAUCCGUUCUCGUCACCAUCUUACUCGCCCUUUCUCGUUCUUACUCCUGUCAUAAAACUUUGUCGCUUUACUAUAUUUUAGCAUGGGACCCAUACAUAUCUAUUUAUAUUAUUCACAUCUUUCCUUCAACUUGCUUGCACCAUAGAUUUCCUUAUGUUGUUCUGGAACAUCAAGUAAGACAUCACAUUGUCUCUAACUAUUCUUUACUCUCACAAUCAAGCUUUUCGAUACCUAGACCAUAGGUUAGAAGAUAUGCUAUUGACGUUGUUGCUAUCAUUCCUGGAUAUUCCCCGCGCUUCUAGCCUUCUAUCCCAAGUAUGGAAUAUUCUCAACCUUUUGCUUCUGAGUAUCUCGUUCAUUAUUCACAUUUACCUUACUUUCCUUAAAGCCUCACAUCACAUCUUAUAUCUCUUUCAUGACCUUCCCUCCACAUAGAUAUAAUGCACAUCCACGUCUUGAACUUCUAUUAUAAUACAUGCACCUUUUUACAAAAUCUCAUGAGAGCUUCAUACUAACCUCUUAUGAGGUUGAGACACCUCUAAGUGGCUUUAUCGUAGUGCCGUUAUAGAAUAUAGCUACUGCAUUAUCUCUCUCGUACCUUUGAUAGUAAGGGUGAUUCUGCAAUGUUUUCAAUCACGAUUUCUAUAAUUUUCAGGGUCCAAUAAUCAGAUUCCUGAUUUACUUCGUUGAUGUAUAUCUUUAGUUUCCUCUUUCUUAUCAGCCUUUAUGUAGGCUUAAGCCACCUACCGAUAUGAGGUUCGUGGUAUUAGUCAUUACUUUAGCCCUCCAUGGACGUUAUGGAAUAUCCAUGAUACAAUCUUUUAAUAAUUCAUUCCUUUAUCUAUGACCUGGGCUCAAUUCUUUCUUUUAAACUAUACCGAAAUCUUCUACGGCUAUAUGAUUGUCAACAUACAUGCUGCAUGGAUAAUACCCUGAACUCUCAAGUGCAUUCAUAAAGUAACCAAACUUUGGAUCAUUGAUCGAAUGAUUCUUUCAUUCCUUCUUAGUUUUCUUUAAACGUAAGCCAUUACCUUUCCUAUUAUUUCUUCCCCCUUGUUGCAUGCAUACUUAGCUUAUCUUAGCUCUCACGCAUACCGGAAUUUUCGUACAACUCAUAUGAUCUUCGAAUAUUGCUUUUGAUUUUACUUCCCAUUCAUUAGCCACGGUAGGUUCCUCUUUCUUAUGGAGAACGUACAAUGUCGUUGUGAAACUGUUGUUACAAGACCAUUUCCUCUUUAGGUUGCUGAGUUCAGGUUGCAGCCUUUUUCCUUAUUGUCCUUAACUUGUCUUUCAUUAUAGUACUUAGGGAGGACUCUCUGACUCUUGUAAAUCUGUGAGCUUAUUAUAUUGUACACUCGACGGACCAUCUAAUGUCUUUCGUUGCCUAUACUUAUCUGUAGUUACUUAUCUCCAUGCCCUUGUGCUUGUGGGGUUGAUUCUGGACUGAUAUUUUGACCGUCUUCCUAGUGGAACUCUUUUUUAUUUCCGUAACACUCAUACAGUACCUUUUUCACUUCGCCGCGGUAGGUUCCUCUUUCUUAUGGAGAACGUACAAUGUUGUUGUGAAACUGUUGUUACAAGACCAUUUCCUCUUUAAGUCGCUGAGUUCAGGUUGCAGCCUUCUUCCUUAUUGUCCUUAACUUGUCUUUCAUUGUAGUACUUAGGGAGGACUCUCUGACUCUUGUAAAGCUAUGAGCUUAUUACAUUGUACACUUGACGGACCAUCUAAUGUCCUUCCUUGCCUAUACUUGUCUGUAGUUACUUAUCUCCAUGCCCUUGUGCUUGUGGGGUUGAUUCUGGACUGAUAUUUUGACCAUCUUCCUAGUGGAACUCUUUUUUAUUUCCUUAACACUCAUACAGUACCUUUUCACUUCUCCAACUCUUAUAUGAAUAUAUCUCAACUAUUACAAUGUCAUAACUGCGGGGCUGAAUUCACUAUAUUGGGUUUUACUAUUUUUAUCUUGCACAACCUAUUGUUAUGUCUGUUUCCUCUUGACUGGCCAUAAUUAGGCUCUUCCUGAAUCAACUACUAACUACUCGUUGGCCCAUUCUCAUGUCAAUAUUCCACAAAAUCUUUCUUGGGUUAUUUUCUUUGUCUUAACUUACGUCUCACACUAACUCCUUAUCUAUCAAUAACAUCUCGGGCAGGGACCUGUACUUCCUCUCAUUGACGUCAUAAUUGCAUAAUGUUCUGGAAUUGUAGCAUAUACGUAGGAGCUGAAUAAGUGUAAUCUCAUUCCUUUUUUGUGUUUACCGCAUUCUUCAUUUACCAUUCCAUGAUUACUAGAACCAUUUAAUUCUGACUUUAUGUCACAUCACUUCAUAUUCCUCCCUUUAGGGGAGUACUAAGAUUUAGCAUUAUGAUGAUCUACUUGUAGAUGUUUUACCUCUUUAGCCUUGGCGUUUUCUCACAUCAUCGAUGACCCUUACUCGCCUUGUGGUAAUCCUUUUGUACCAAGAAAAUGAAAUUUCUCACUCGCGAAAGUGGCACUUAGUGUAACUGGCACACAUAGUCCCUUAAGCUUAAACUUUGCUCACAUUGCUUGCUUUAGGGAAGCGUCUUCCUGAAUGACCAUUUUUUGAAUUUCUUCUGAAUCUUUGUCUGUUGUCCAUUCUACUAUCGCUAGAACAAAAUCUAAAAUUCUCAUGAUGCCGACUAUUAUCAAAUCAUUCAGUCCUUAAUUUAUGUUUAGUUUAUCUUGUUCACCAGCCCAUACUGAUUCCUAUUACUCCGGGGUCUAACUUUUCCUCUUGGUAAUCGCUCUAGAGUUGCGAUCUUAUUUCUCAAAAUAAGGACAUGACUGUAUGGCAUAUACUCUUUUGUUGUCUUAAGGCUUAUCACCUCUUGUCUCUUCCUUUACUUGAAUAUAGAUUUUGUAAUAUUAUCAUCUUUUGAUCUACCGUUGUCAUCCAUGUACCACAUCUUACUCAGAAUGCUUCAUUAACUCUUUUCUUAUUUCCUGCUAACAUUUAUGCCUAUCACUUUAUUCUGAAAACUCGAACAAGAAAUUCUUUUGCUUUUAGCUUCCCUUUGUUCCAUCUAGUGGCUCAUCAAGUUGCUUAACGUUCUCUAUUUACUAGGGACANNNNNNNNNNNNNNNNNNNNNNNNNNNNNNNNNNNNNNNNNNNNNNNNNNNNNNNNNNNNNNNNNNNNNNNNNNNNNNNNNNNNNNNNNNNNNNNNNNNNNNNNNNNNNNNNNNNNNNNNNNNNNNNNNNNNNNNNNNNNNNNNNNNNNNNNNNNNNNNNNNNNNNNNNNNNNNNNNNNNNNNNNNNNNNNNNNNNNNNNNNNNNNNNNNNNNNNNNNNNNNNNNNNNNNNNNNNNNNNNNNNNNNNNNNNNNNNNNNNNNNNNNNNNNNNNNNNNNNNNNNNNNNNNNNNNNNNNNNNNNNNNNNNNNNNNNNNNNNNNNNNNNCUCUGAUACCACUUUUGUCACGACCCAAACCGAUGGGCUGCGACGGGCGCCCGGUAUCCUACUCAACCGAGUACCAAUGUAACGUAUCUUUCUUAUUAUAUUAUCAUAUACAUGUGACAUACGGGCCUAAUAGGCCCAAACUAUCCUUUAUAAACUCAAAUCAUAGGUUGACAAGGCCGUACAAUCUUUCAUGUACACGACAAAUGUCUACAAGCCUCUAAGAGUAUAUAAAUGUCAUAAAUGUUGGGACAGAGUCCCGCUAUACCAAAUAAUACACGUCUAAAUCAUACUAACCAAACACGCAACUUCAAAGCAAAUGGAGCGCACCAACAUCUUCUGCUGAGUUGAUAGCCUACUUGGAGGGCUCUCGACCCGUCUAUCUGGACCUGCGGGCAUGAAACGCAGUGUCCCAAGGAAAAAAGGGACAUCAGUACAAAUAAUGUACUGAGUAUGUAAGGCACAUAAAUAAGUACAUAACAGACAUGGAGGAAAUAUAGAAUAAAUGACUCCACCUGUAAGUCCGAAUAACUUUGUAAAUCAUGAAACAAUUAUAGUAUCAUGCAUAUGCGUAUGAAUGUCAUGGCGUGCAUAGGUACAUGUUUCAUAACAUCACCAGCCUCUGAGGACAUCCCAUCAUAUCAUCUUGUCCACUGUGGGCAAAAUCAUCAACAUAUACUAGAUGAUCAGGUGGUGGUGCGUAUAUAACGUCAUAACCUUUCCCAUAUCCUAUAUACAUAUAUAUACAUACAUAUAUACGCGUAUAUAACACCAUCCGGUCAUGGAUCAAUGUACAUGAAUGCAAUGCAUGAAAAUUACGUUAAUAAAAUCUUUCGGAAUGUCAUAAGACCAUUUUGCUGUUGAGUAAUAUCAUGAAAUAAACCUUAUCAACUUACGUAUUUUUUGAGACCCAUGAACAGAUGAAAGAAUAAUAGGACACAUGGAGAAUCAAGAACAUUGGCACUUCUAAUACUUCUAUGAAUAGAGUCAUUUAUGGAAGUUGGUCAUUUUCGCGUUUCGUUCAUAUCGUAUAGAUCAUGCCAAAAGAAAGAAGGGAUAGCCGUAACAUACCUGAGUCGAUUCUCUUGACAAUCCCUCUAAUAUACAUUGAUUACGACAAAACGCGUAACGGCGGAUCAAAGUAGGGGAAAAUUCGUAUGGUAUUCUUGAGAAAGAUUGCACCGUGCUCUCUUAGAAUCAGAUUUUACGCUAUUGUAGCAAUCCAUCCAUUAGCAAUCCUAGAUCUCUUGUAAGAGUUCAUAAGUAUUAUUUUGAAAAUGACAUGCUUUAGUUGUUGCCCAUAAUUUCCUCUUAAAUGACUAGCUCUCGUUUGAUGUGUGCAUGGAAUGAUGCAGCAAAUGGAGGUUCAAAUAAUCUUGUAAGUUUGUAAUUUGUGUAUAUCCAAAUACAAAAAUAGAGUGAAAGUAGGAACAAAUAUAACCCAUUCACUUGGUAUAUGGAAACACUUUUUCGUAUGAACAAUACCAAUAUGUAACAAUCUCUCAUAGUUUAAAGAUUUGUGGCCCCACUUUUGGGAUGACUUAGUCACAAAUAUAUCUUAAAAUAUGACACCUUGCAAUUCUUUUUAAAAGUCAUUGAUUUGAAUUGUGGGCUGCCACGGUACAAUCUUAUCCAAAUAUAUCCCCAAUUAAUUAGGUAAUGUCCUAUAACCCCGUAAAAUUGAGAAUUAUUCUCACUUACUUAAAAUAUUACUCACUUUUCACAUACCUUAUAUACCUUAUUAUUAUGGUCAUGUGGUACCUUGUAUGAUAUUAGUCCAUAAAUACCGAGUAUUUUAGCUUGAGCCGUAUUUUAUCCCAACAUGCCAAACUUGGACGAAAAUUCGUUUUCUUUGACUUNNN